rnacentral:sRNA from 2 species
ACAAAACAGGCAGAAAGCUUAAAUUUCUGUCGAAUUCGCGGUAAAGUCUUGGGAGGAUCAGAUCUUAGGCGCGGUUACUCGCAGCCCCUUAAUUGGUGAAAGGUCACGCGACAUUUGUACAAACAAGGUCUUCGGACCUUGUUUUUUUUU